GACGAACGCUGGCGGCGUGCCUAAUACAUGCAAGUCGAGCGAAGCGGCGGAUGGGUGAGUAACGCGUGGGUAACCUGCCCUUAAGUCUGGGAUAACAUUUGGAAACAGAUGCUAAUACCGGAUAUUAAAGGAUGGAUCUGCGAUUCAUUAGCUAGUGGGUAAGGUAACGGCUUACCAAGGCGAUUAUGCAUAGCCGGUUUGAGAGGCUGAUCGGCCACAUUGGGACUGAGACACGGCCCAGAAUCCUACGGGAGGCAGCAGUAGGGAAUCUUCCACAAUGGACGAAAGUCUGAUCGAGCAACGCCGCGUGAGUGAAGAAGGUUUUCGGAUCGUAAAGCUCUGUUGUGUGGGAAGCGUUAAUCAACCAGAAAGUCACGGCUAACUACGUGCCAGCAGCCGCGGUAAUUC
rnacentral:rRNA from 1 species